rnacentral:rRNA from 1 species
GAUGAACGCUGGCGGCGUGCCUAAUACAUGCAAGUCGAGCGAAUGGAUUAAGAGCUUGCUCUUAUGAAGUUAGCGGCGGACGGGUGAGUAACACGUGGGUAACCUGCCCAUAAGACUGGGAUAACUCCGGGAAACCGGGGCUAAUACCGGAUAACAUUUUGAACUGCAUGGUUCGAAAUUGAAAGGCGGCUUCGGCUGUCACUUAUGGAUGGACCCGCGUCGCAUUAGCUAGUUGGUGAGGUAACGGCUCACCAAGGCAACGAUGCGUAGCCGACCUGAGGGGGGGAUCGGCCACACUGGGACUGGGACACGGCCCAGACUCCUACGGGAGGCAGCAGUAGGGAAUCUUCCGCAAUGGACGAAAGUCUGACGGAGCAACGCCGCGUGAGUGAUGAAGGCUUUCGGGCCGUAAAACUCUGUUGUUAGGGAAGAACAAGUGCUAGUUGAAUAAGCUGGCACCUUGACGGUACCUAACCAGAAAGCCACGGCUAACUACGUGCCAGCCGCCGCCGUAA